CUUCGCGUGGUAGUCGUCAAACCAAGUCUCGCACGCCAUCUUGGCCAGCGCUCUCUCCUCCCCCACCGCGCCGCCGAGCUCCGCCUCCGGCCGACGCAAGCAGGCCACCUCGGACGAAUUCUUCUUCCCCUACUCCUCGUAUCUACCGGGAUGGCGUCGGGUGGAGAUCUUCCAUCCGGGUUCACUGAUGAGAGCAAAAUUAAAAAAACAGAAGGAUCAUCCAACGAAGGUCAAGGUGUUCCUCCAGCUGCCGCUGCAGGCUUGUCGGGUCCUUUCGAUUUUUCUUCUAUGCAAAGUUUGCUCAAUGAUCCAUCUAUAAAGGAGAUGGCAGAUCAGAUUGCAAGGGACCCUGCAUUCAAUCAGAUGGCUGAGCAGCUACAGAAAGGUGCUCAGGGUGCAGGAGAACAGGGCAUGCCUCCAUUGGAUCCUCAUCAAUACAUUGAAACAAUGCAAAGGGUCAUGGAAAACCCUCAAUUCAUGACAAUGGCAGAACGCCUCGGGACUGCUCUUAUGCAGGAUCCUGCUAUGUCCAGUAUGCUGGAAAACUUGACCAGUCCAACACAUAAGGAGGAGCUUGAAGAGCGCAUGUCUCGUAUUAAGGAAGAUCCAGCUUUGAAGCCAAUUCUUGAUGAGUUAGAGAAUGGUGGUCCUGCUGCAAUGAUAAAGUAUUGGAAUGACCCUGAAACUCUUCAAAAGAUUGGCCAGGCAAUGGGAACCACCAUGCCAUUUGGCACUGUCUCUACUGCUGAGCCUUCUGGUACUGAAGAAACUGAAGAAGAAGGUGAAGAUGAAGAUGAGUCCAUUGUCCACCACACUGCCAGUGUUGGUGAUGGUGAGGGUCUAAAGAAGGCUCUAGAUGGUGGAGCAGACAAGGAUGAAGAAGACUCUGAGGGAAGAAGGGCCUUGCACUUUGCAUGUGGAUAUGGUGAGUUCAAGUGUGCGGAAAUCCUCCUUGAGGCUGGUGCUGCAGUAGAUGCUAUGGAUAAGAACAAGAACACCCCACUGCAUUACGCUGCUGGCUAUGGCCGGAAAGAAUGUGUGGAUCUUCUGUUGAAGCACGGCGCUGCUGUCACUCUCCAAAACAUGGAUGGGAAGACGCCCAUCGAUGUCGCCAAGCUCAACAACCAGGAUGAGGUCCUCAAGCUGCUCUGAGAAGGACGUGUUCCUGUAAAUCGCUUCACUUGGCUCCCAUGAAGAGACAUGGCCGUCAUCAUGUUUUACAUCGCUUUGGCAUUGGUUGGAUAGUCAUACUCGAAUCGGCAUUUUAUUCGUUGUGUAAGAAUAUACUACCUGUGUUAGCUGGCCUGCAGGCCGACUGGCCGAGGUUAGAACUGCAUGUUACUGUAUAUGGCGACUUGUGUAUCGUCCACUUUGUUUCUGUUGAUUUCACUAGAGUAAUCCAAGACUGUACCCAAGAAUUAUUUUUA